ACUUGUACCCUAGCGGCGAACGGGUGAGUAACACGUAGGUAAUCUACCCUUAAGACGAGGAUACCGUUUGGAAACGAACGUUAAAACUGGAUAGGAUAGUAAGACAAAAGUUUAACUAUUUAAAAGAGCAAUCUACUUAAGGAGGAGCCUGCGGCGCAUUAGCUAGUUGGUGAGGUAAUGGCCCACCAAGGCGAUGAUGCGUAGCCGGUCUGAGAGGACGAACGGCCACAUUGGGACUGAGACACGGCCCAGACUCCUACGGGAGGCAGCAGUAGGGAAUUUUCGGCAAUGGACGGAAGUCUGACCGAGCAACGCCGCGUGAAUGAUGAAGUAUUUCGGUAUGUAAAGUUCUUUUAUUUGGGAAGAAAAAACAAAUUGACGGUACCAAAUGAAUAAGCCCCGGCUAACUACGUGCCAGCAGCCGCGGUAAUACGUAGGGGGCAAGCGUUAUCCGGAAUUAUUGGGCGUAAAGGGUGCGUAGGCGGGUUAUCAAGUCUUUGGUUAAAAUGCGGUGCUCAACGCCGUAGUGCCAAAGAAACUGAUAGUCUAGAGUAUGGUAGAAGUGAGUGGAACUCCAUGUGUAGCGGUAAAAUGCGUAAAUAUAUGGAAGAACACCAGUGGCGAAGGCGGCUCACUAGGCCAAUACUGACGCUGA
rnacentral:rRNA from 1 species